UACGUAGGGUGCAAGCGUUAAUCGGAAUUACUGGGCGUAAAGCGUGCGCAGGCGGUUGUGCAAGACAGAUGUGAAAUCCCCGGGCUUAACCUGGGAAUUGCAUUUGUGACUGCACGGCUAGAGUGUGUCAGAGGGGGGUAGAAUUCCACGUGUAGCAGUGAAAUGCGUAGAGAUGUGGAGGAACACCGAUGGCGAAGGCAGCCCCCUGGGUCAAGACUGACGCUCAUGCACGAAAGCGUGGGGAGCAAACAGG
rnacentral:rRNA from 1 species